CCUACGGGGGGCAGCAGUGAGGAAUAUUGGUCAAUGGGCGUAAGCCUGAACCAGCCAAGUCGCGUGAGGGAUGAAGGUUCUAUGGAUCGUAAACCUCUUUUAUAAGGGAAUAAAGUGUGGGACGUGUCCUAUUUUGUAUGUACCUUAUGAAUAAGGAUCGGCUAACUCCGUGCCAGCAGCCGCGGUAAUACGGAGGAUCCGAGCGUUAUCCGGAUUUAUUGGGUUUAAAGGGUGCGUAGGCGGCCUUUUAAGUUAGCGGUGAAAGUCUGUGGCUCAACCAUAGAAUUGCCGUUGAAACUGGGGGGCUAGAGUAUGGUUGAGGCAGGCGGAAUGUGUGGUGUAGCGGUGAAAUGCUUAGAUAUCACGCAGAACCCCGAUUGCGAAGGCAGCAUGCCAAGCUAUGACUGACGCUGAGGCACGAAAGCGUGGGGAGCAAACAGGAUUAGAUACCCGAGUAGUC
rnacentral:rRNA from 1 species